GAUGAACGCUGGCGGCGUGCUUAAUACAUGCAAGUCGAGCGGACGGACGAGACGCUUGCUUCUCUCAUGUUAGCGGCGGACGGGUGAGUCACACGUGGAUAACCUCCUUAUUUGACUGAGAUCUCUUCGAGAAACCGGAGCUAAUACCGGAUAAUAUCUUGAACCGCAUUGUUCAAAAGUGAAAGUCGGUCUUGCGGUCACUUAUCGAUGGAUCCGCGCUGCAUUAGCGAGUUGGUAAGGUAACGGCUUACCAAGGGAACGAUGCAUCGCCGGCGUGAGGGGGUGAUCGGCCACACGGGAACGGAGGCACGGUCCAGACUCCUACGGGACGCAGCAGUAGGGAAGCUGCCGCAAUGGGCGAAAGCCUGACGGAGGAACGCCGCGUGUGUGGUGAAGGCGUUCGGAUCGUAAAGCCCUGCUAUUAGGGAAGAACAUAUGUGUAUGUAGAUGUGCACGUCUUGACGGUACCUAAUCAAGAAGCCCCGGCUAACUACGUG
rnacentral:rRNA from 1 species